CUUGUACUACCGCGGGAAACUCAUUGCUUGCACUGUAUCACUGAAGCCGGAGAAACUCAGUCCGUGAAAGUUAUUUACAUUGCAAAAUGUCCAAAAAAAAAGGUCUCAGUCUUGAGGAGAAGAGGACUCGCAUGAUGGAGAUUUUCUUCGAGACAAAAGAAGUGUUUCAGCUGAAGGACAUAGAGAAAAUCGCCCCCAAGACUAAAGGAAUAACACCCAUGUCAGUGAAGGAGGUUCUCCAGAGUCUGGUGGAUGACAAUAUGGUGGACUGUGAGAGAGUGGGCACCUCAAACUACUAUUGGGCCUUCCCCAGCAAGGCCCUGCAUGCCCGCAAGCGCAGGUUGGAGGAGCUGGACAAGCAGCAUACCGUGGAGAAACAAAGGAAGAUGUCUCUGCAGCAGGCUGUCGACAAAUCAAAAGUAGGACGUGAAGAAACCGAGGAGCGGGCCACUCUUCUAAAGGAACUGCAGGCUCUGAGGGAGAAGAGGAGUCAUCUGAAGGCAAAGCUGGAGAAGUACAGGGAGUGUGACCCGGAAGUGAUCGAGGAGAUGAGAAAGUCCAAUGUCACAGCUAAAGAGGCAGUGUCCAGAUGGACAGGUAAGUCAACUGAAAGACAAACCUGACUAACACACACACGAACAGGCCACCAGACUGUGUGGACAUUACACUGGGUUGGGUGAUUCAACAUGGUGUAAGCAAAGGCCCCACACAUUCACCAUUACUGGCCAUUUUCACACACACACACACACACACGUUUUCUUCCCCUGACCAUUUAUUUUGAGUCGUGUAGGAAAAGGCACAUCCAUUACAAAGUGGUAUUUCUCUGGGAAUCCCAUUCUGUGAUGACAAAGCUUUUUUUUUUUUGCCUUCACUGAAAACGCAGUACCUACUAACUAACUAACUGCAGCCCUAAGCACUCCGUGUGUGUUCACCCAGUGUGAAAGGCCGUAAAUUAAAGGUGAGUUAUCCACUGCAACACGAUAAUUGGUAUGUAAAUAAUAACCCUGCUCCUCACUAAACUCCACCUAGUAGCCCCUAACUCCCUGUAGUCCCUCCACAUGACCAUAAUCACCCUGAGGUCACUGGUCACCCCAGGUUACUGCCAGGGGUCACGUAGUGCACAGGGAGCCUGUGCAGGGUAUGCUGGGAGUUUACACUUUCCCUCUCACUAUCACACACAGCCUUGCAUGCACGCACACACACCCCAGGGAUCACACCACCACCCACUCUGUAAAUAGUGUCAUUGCAUGACGUUAGCGAGUGAAUGUUAUCCGGCCUGGGUUUAUUGUUAAGCCUGACAAGUCACUUAAAGGUGCAAUUAGACCUAUCCAUUGAUCCCAUGGAGUGAAUGUGCUCUGCUAACCUUCUCAUAAAGGAUCAACUUUUACUCACAACAAAUCUCUAUUUGGCAACAUUGACGUCAGAAUUGUUUAAAUGUGACUUAAAUUAAUUUUUUGUUCUGUUUGAUGAAUAAUGCGACGCAUCGGAGUGAGAACACAACAAUAUGCGGUGAUCCAAUUGUUCUAAUUUGACAUAUAACGUCUUUGCCAUCAAGUCGUGGGCCAAGAGGAAGUUUGGUUUCGAUGAUGGACGCAUCGAUAAAGCCUUCGGGAUACCUGAAGACUUCGAUUACAUGGACUGACUGCAUGAUCUGUAAUUUCUAUUAAUUGUUUUUGUUAAUUGAGUGACAGCCAUUGCACACAUUGCAAUGCAAGUCAGACAUGUUACUUAAAUCCACUCAGGCAAGCCCCUCAAAAAAAACAGCCUUGUGCUUUUCGUAGUUGACUUGGAGCAGCUGCCAUUUUGACGCUCGCUCAUGGCCCUCGCAGGUGCAAAUGCUGCUUCUGUGGCACUUGAGAAGGCGCUGUGCUAACCUUUUGGCCACCUUUUUGCAUGAAAAUCAAGAGCCCAGAGUCGUUGACGGAAAUUUGUUUUGUCCAGCACCCCCCCACCACACACAGAAAAAGAAGCGGCACAUCGAACUCCCAUCGAUGUUAAAAAUCUGAUCUUACCUGAUUUAAACGGAUGGAAAUUAAAACAGUCAUUUCCAUCAAAAACUCAUGUUGUUUUUGCUCUCCCCAUCUCUCUUUUUGUAGUUUACUUUGACAAAAUAAGCAUCUGCCACUGUGGCACCAGGACUGACUGGAUUUUCCUUAUCUCCUGUUUUAAAUCAAAAGAGGGAGAGGGUCAUUGUGGACAUAACGUGCUUGGUGAUUGACAAUGCAGUGGAAAGCAAGGAGCACCGAAACACAAAUAGGAGUGCCACUGAAAUAUCGUUGAGGAGGCUUUACAGUGGAGAUAUGUUUAGAAUUCACCAUUUAGAAGAGCCAUAAAUUAUAAUUCCCUGUAAAUGUGCUUUAUAGUUUUGUGGCUCUGUAGACUCGACAGGAUUUCAGGUUUUGUUGUUGAAAACAUGAUGGAUGAUUUGUUUGAAUGGAGAGGUGAAUGAACAGUAACAUUU